UACAAGUUUCGUUAAUUAUAUUUUGAUAUUUAACUUGUCUUGUAUCUAGCAAUUUAUGCCAAAAGAAAAAAAAUUGUCAGAUGGGACUUACAUUUAUAAUAUGUGCAGAAAAAUUCAAAAAUCUGUUUGUUGUGACAAGGAACAUAUAUACAGUUCCCACUUUUUAUGAACAUUUCAUACAUUUCAAUGAAAAACAGUGUUUGGCAUUAUUUUAGGCCAAACAAAAAAGUAUGUGUGUUUACUGUCACAUGCUGGGGAAAAAAAGGAACAGGGUAGGUAGGAAGGGAAGAAAAAAAAAUUUCCAUUGAGGCUAUAGGAGCAACAUUGUAACAGUACUUAAUAAAAAAUGGCUGAAGAAACUUUAGUGUAGGGGAUAAAAAUUAGAGUAGGGAGGGGUACAGUAAACACACAUACUUUUUUUUUUGGCCUUAGAAAACAUUUAUUUGAAAUGGAACAUAUCCCUUACAUGGGACAUGUUGGACUAUAGUUUCCCCUUCUUAGUUUAAGGGCAUUGUAGAAAAUGCAUUCAUUUUUACUUGACAGAGGUACUUAAUCUUGAAGUUCAUAAUUGUCCAUUUUAGAAUCCAAAGCAUUUGGGCAUUAUAAACAUAGAUUUUAGAUAUGUAGGUUGUGAAAGGGGAAAAACCUCAGGAUAAAACUAUUAAUAGGCCAGUAAAAUCUUAAUAAACCAGUCAGGGUAGAUUUACCUUUGAUUUUAUUUCAUUUCAAGGCAAACACAUUUGAAACCUCGGGAUAAAACUAUUAAUGAGGGUGGUAAAGGGUUAUUUUCGUGCAACAUGUUCACCGUUUUUUAUUUCACGUUCAACGGGUUUUUACUUUUUUAUUUUACGUUCAGUCGUGCAAGACAGGUGCCUCGUUCAACGUGUUCUGCUUAUUUAAUUUUACGUGCUUCGUGAUUUUCAAAGUCUUAUUUUGCGUGCUCGGUAUUUUUCAAAUACAAUUCAAACACUUGACAGGGAUCGACAAAAAAUACUUUUUUAAAAACCGUAAACCAAUUAUAUCAUAAAUUUGUAUACUAAAUCGGGAAUAUCAAGUAAAACAAAGAGUUAAUAUACACAAGAAGACAGUGAUUCAGUCACAAAAGGUUCACAUAAAAGUAUUUAUUUUUGGUGCAAUGUUCAUUACAGAAAUUAUUUCACGUUCAACGUGAAAUUAUGUCUUAUUUCACGUUUUUUUCGUGCAAGUACCCCCCUUUACCACCCUCAUUAAUAGGCCAGUCAAAUCUUAAUAAACCAGUCAGGGUAGAUUUACCUUUGAUUUUAUUUCAUCUCAAGGCAAACACAUUUCAAGUAAUAUAUUACCAUGAUGCUGAAAUACAAUGGAAAAUACCCUGAAGGGCUUUGCUCAUUGUUGAAGGCAUAUUGUGACCUAUAGAUGUUAAUUUCUAAGUCAUUUUGUCUCUAGUGGAGACUUGUCUCAUUGGCAAUCAUACAACAUAUUAUUUUUAAAUGAAAUUCCUUGUACUGACUUGUUAGAAAUCUUUGAAAUUAAUUCUGAAUUGGGUACCAUUUAGGCAGCUUAGUGGUUUAUAUGUACUUUAGAUUUAGAAAUUUUUGCGAUGCUUUUAAAAGUGGAAAAUUGCAACAAGAUGUGUGUCUCAAAAAUAAAAAAUUGCAUUUUAAAUUUGGUAGCAUUAUUUGAACUCUAAAUUUCUU
rnacentral:lncRNA from 1 species